UGUCUGUCAUUGGCCAAGCGAAUGGAAUGUUUGACGUCACCGAACAUAUAAAAAGGCUUGCCCUGACAUGUUCCCUUCACACACUAGUGAUUCUCUAAGCGAAAGCUGUUGAAAACCACUACUACUCUUCUGACUUUACAGUCUUUACAGACUUUACAGUUAUUUAAUAGACAAAGAUAUUUUCAACAUGUCUGAGUCGAAGGAGGAUAUCGAGACCAGCAGCGGUGGUACUCUGCGAAAGCAGAAUUCUGCCCCUUCAGGUUCUCGGGUAACCUCCGUCCCUCCGCGGGUUGUACCGGAUGUGGAAUUGAGCCAUUCAGGUGUAAGACAGAAAAAGCUUACAUUAUCUGAGAUGCUCGUGAUCGCCACGCGUAAAAUUGUAGACAGACAAAUGGCCACUUUUUACUCGGGUGAGGAGCAAACAUUGGCCAUUCCACAUUGGUUGAGAGAUAUGGAGCGGCGCCGUAAAGCUGAUGGACUAGAUAAGAUCACGGGUUCAUCAGCUGAGGGGCACGUAAAUGUUGUUGAAAGCAGUGGGGAGCGAGAUGAUCAACGGAGGUUGUGUGUCUCUGCCCCCGCAGUUUUGGAAACCAGGUUUGUCCUUCCUGGGGCAAUUGAGGAUGAAGAGUGGGUCCCUGCAGUUGUGGCUACACCUGCAGCGGCUUUAGAUGAGGAGGAGAGAAGCUUACCAGAACCAAAACCAGAAGGCCGGAAGAAAAUCCGGGCUUUCAUGCGCAGAGCAUUGCAAGCAAUCAGAAAAGCUUGUUGUUGCUGCGUAAUUGAGGAUAACGUGGAGCCAUUUUGAUCCUCAGGUGCCCGUAUAGACGAAGCUGAUGUAGAAAGGUUCUGGUAUUAAGCAAACGGGUUUUUAAGAACCACCCUAUUGCCGGUCAGGUUCGUCAUUCCUUGGAUAUAUCAGCUUUCCAAGAAGCAGCUGAUCAUAUGGUCCAUUCGACCAUCGCCCAUGUGCUCCGGCAGAUCAGCUGAUUUUAAGUCGGGUUUUUCUUACCUGCACCCAGCUCGUGAUAAAACACUGGCAGUAUAGUCCCUUCGGACUCGAGCCGGCGAGCUUGUUUUCCUUGGAAACAUGCCCGUUCCAAGAAGAGGAUGAUCAUAAAUGUGGUCUAUCGACCACGGGCGUCAUGCUCAACCGGAUCAUGCUGAUUAGUCAGUCAGGUUUGUGUAACCUGCACCCAUCUCGUGAAAAACACUGGCAGUAUAGUCCCUUCGGACUCGAGCCGGCGAGAUUGUUUUCCUUGGAAACAUGCCCUUUCCAAGAAGAGGAUGAUCAUAAAUGUGGUCCUUUCGACCACGGGCGUCAUGCUCAACCGGAUCAUGCUGAUUGGUCAGUCAGGUUUGUGUAACCUGCACCCAGCUCGUGAGAAACACAGGCAGUAUAGUCCCUUCGGACUCGAGCCGGCGAGCUUGUGGAACCAGACUAUUGCCAGUCUGGUUAAUCAUCUUUGGACAUAACAGCUUUCCAAGAAGCAGCUGAAUGGUCAGGUUCAUCUAGCCUGCGGUCAAGCGAUAGUGAUCGAAAAAUGUCAUUGCUUUAUGAAGUGGGAAGACAGAUUGGAAGAGGUGCCUUUAGAAAAGUGGAUGAGGGGACUCGCAAAUCUGAUGGCAUGAAGGUAGAACCGCUCUUUAUCAAAUUGUUUUGCCAACCCUACAUUAUAUAUGACUUACAUAUGAUUAUUUCUCUCUUGUACGUCACCAUCUGGCAAGGAAAUCUGCACCAAAAUAUCCUCGAACCCGAGGACAUUGAGACAAACAGACCCAGUUCCGGCCGCCGUGGAGGUCAACACACACCACUGAUCUACUGGGCGUCCUUUAACGUGAUGCCCAGCCGAUGCCUGACCAACGACCACCGGCGGAACCUGUUUAAUCUCCUCAUCCGUUUACAUAUAUCUCCCAAGGGUUUUUUCCCUCCUAGGACUUUUUUCCCUCCUUGCAAAAAAUUCGGGAGGUUUUUCUCCUAGGGGGGUUUUUCAACCCGGGGAGUCAGCCGACAUUGGCUUAACAUAGCACCCUCUUCAAUACGUUACAUUAUUAAUACGCUCGCUUGUAAAGUUUAUUCAUAGCCGCUGUAUUUUGCUACUUAUAUUGUCUGUCGAAUUUUCUGUGUUUUUUCCUGUUUCUAUUCAUGUAAAGCUGCUUUGAAACAAUUACAAAUUGUGAAAAGCGCUAUAUAAA